rnacentral:rRNA from 1 species
GAGUUUGAUCCUGGCUCAGGAUUAACGCUGGCGGCGUGCCUAAUACAUGCAAGUCGAACGGAAGUACCUUCGGGUACUUUAGUGGCGAACGGGUGAGUAAUACAUAGGUAACCUACCCUUAAGACGAGGAUAGCCAUUGGAAACGAUGGAUAAAACUGUAUAGGAUAUAGAGGAAGAAUCUUUUAUAUUUAAAAGAGAGAUCUGCUUAAGGAGGGGCCUGUGGCGCAUUAGCUAGUUGGUGGGGUUAGGGCCUACCAAGGCGAUGAUGCGUAGCCGGACUGAGAGGUUGAACGGCCACAAUGGAACUGAGAACGGUCCAUACUCCUACGGGAUGCAGCAGUAGGGAAUU